rnacentral:rRNA from 1 species
GUUACUGCUAUCGGAGUUCGAUUAAGCCAUGCGAGUCUAAAGGUUUCUUCGGAAACCUUGGCGAACUGCUCAGUAACACGUGGAUAACCUACCCUUGGGACUGGAAUAACCCCGGGAAACUGGGGAUAAUACCGGAUAGAUCAGGGAUGCUGGAAUGCACCUUGAUCCAAAGCUCCGGCGCCCAAGGAUGGGUCUGCGGCCUAUCAGGUAGUAGUGGGUGUAAUGUACCUACUAGCCAACGACGGGUACGUGUUGUGAGAGCAAGAGCCCGGAGAUGGAUUCUGAGACACGAAUCCAGGCCCUACGGGGUGCAGCAGGCGCGAAACCUUUACAAUGUGCGAAAGCAUGAUAAGGGAACUCCGAGUGCCAGCAUCUAAUGUUGGCUGUCCUUGUGCCUAAAACGCACAAGAUAGCAAGGGCCGGGUAAGACCGGUGCCAGCCGCCGCGGUAACACCGGCGGCCCGAGUGGUAGCCGCUAUUAUUGGGUCUAAAGGGUCCGUAGCCGGUUCGAUAAGUCCUCUGGGAAAUCUGGUUGCUUAACAAUCAGACUGCCAAGGGAUACUGUCGAACUUGAGACCGGGAGAGGUAAGAGGUACUUCAGGGGUAGGAGUGAAAUCUUGUAAUCCCUGGGGGACCAUCUGUGGCGAAGGCGUCUUACCAGAACGGGUCUGACGGUGAGGGACGAAAGCUGGGGGCGCAAACCGGAUUAGAUACCCGGGUAGUCCCAGCCGUAAACGAUGCUCGCUAUGUGUCAGGUACGGUGUGACCGUAUCUGGUGCCGUAGGGAAGCCGUGAAGCGAGCCACCUGGGAAGCACGGUCGCAAGACUGAAACUUAAAGGAAUUGGCGGGGGAGCACUACAACGGGUGGAGCCUGCGGUUUAAUUGGAUUCAACGCCGGA